UACGAGGGAUCCUAGCGUUGUUCGGAAUCAUUGGGCGUAAAGGGUGUGUAGGCGGCCAUGUAAGUCAGUUGUGAAAGCCCCGGGCUUAACCCGGGAAGUGCUUCUGAUACUGCAUGGCUUGAGUAUUGGAGAGGUGAGUGGAAUUCCAGGUGUAGUGGUGAAAUACGUAGAUAUCUGGAGGAACACCGGCGGCGAAGGCGGCUCACUGGCCAUAUACUGACGCUGAAACACGAAAGCGUGGGGAUCAAACAGG
rnacentral:rRNA from 1 species